rfam:Glycine soja cultivar W05 scaffold4724_44, whole genome shotgun sequence.
UUCUCAUUGGAUGAUGACUGUCACGUGUCAUGUUCCGGUCAAAUGUCACCUCCAUGAAUUGUUGUUUCCAUUUUUAAUCAAAACAUGACACAUGACAGUCAACAUAA